AAAAAAUAAAAAAAUACACCCGUAAACACACUAUACAGAUAGAGGAAUCGUUCGGUCAAUUUCUUUAUAUCUUUGAAUUGCCAUUGUGGAAUUGGUUUUCCUCAGACUUUGAAAUUUUCCUUGUC